rnacentral:rRNA from 1 species
UACGUAGGGGGCAAGCGUUGUCCGGAUUUAUUGGGCGUAAAGAGCGUGUAGGCGGCCUGACAGGUCUGCUGUGAAACUCGAGGCUCAACCUCGAGAUGUCGGCGGAAACCGUCUGGCUAGAGUCCGGAAGAGGAGAGUGGAAUUCCUGGUGUAGCGGUGAAAUGCGUAGAGAUGUGGAGGAACACCAGUGGCGAAGGCGACUCUUUGGCCUGUAACUGACGCUGAGGCGCGAAAGCGUGGGGAGCAAACAGG